rnacentral:rRNA from 1 species
CCUACGGGCGGCAGCAGUGAGGAAUAUUGGUCAAUGGACGAGAGUCUGAACCAGCCAAGUAGCGUGAAGGAUGACUGCCCUAUGGGUUGUAAACUUCUUUUAUAUGGGAAUAAAAUGUUCCACGUGUGGGAUUUUGUAUGUACCAUAUGAAUAAGGAUCGGCUAACUCCGUGCCAGCAGCCGCGGUAAUACGGAGGAUCCGAGCGUUAUCCGGAUUUAUUGGGUUUAAAGGGAGCGUAGGUGGAUUGUUAAGUCAGUUGUGAAAGUUUGCGGCUCAACCGUAAAAUUGCAGUUGAAACUGGCAGUCUUGAGUACAGUAGAGGUGGGCGGAAUUCGUGGUGUAGCGGUGAAAUGCUUAGAUAUCACGAAGAACUCCGAUUGCGAAGGCAGUUCACUGGACUGCAACUGACACUGAGGCUCGAAAGUGUGUGUAUCAAACAGGAUUAGAUACCCGUGUAGUC